UACGAAGGGGGCUAGCGUUGCUCGGAAUCACUGGGCGUAAAGCGCACGUAGGCGGCUUUUUAAGUCGGUGGUGAAAUCCUGGAGCUCAACUCCAGAACUGCCUCCGAUACUGAAAGGCUCGAGUCCGGGAGAGGUGAGUGGAACUGCGAGUGUAGAGGUGAAAUUCGUAGAUAUUCGCAAGAACACCAGUGGCGAGGGCGGCUCACUGGCCCGGUACUGACGCUGAGGUGCGAAAGCGUGGGGAGCGAACAGG
rnacentral:rRNA from 1 species